CCAAAUAUAAAUAUAAUAUGUACAAAUAAAUAAAUAAUAAUAAUAAUAAUAACCACAGACCAUUAAUGUCCUAUUACAAGCCCAAAGACCCAAAACAAUCCCUCUGGCCCAAAUCUAGUGGCCCAAUACUUAAAAUGAGCCCAAACGGCCCGAAAGCCAAGCCAAAUUUCGGUAAACCCUAGGGCAAAGGGGUCCUCGCGUCGCAGCCUUCACGAGCAGCAACCACAUCGCGCCACACCCACCCUCCGUACGAUGCCAGCAUCUCAGCAGUCAGCACAGCCCCGUACCCGAGCACCACGCACCCUGUACCUGCAGAAAAGGGACAAAUGCACAGCAAAACAAACAAAAACAACGAAGAACAUUGUAUUUUCGAUUUUUAUUUUUUAUUUUUACCCCAUUCGGCUAUAAAGCCAGGGGAUUUAAUCAGUUGUAAGGUUUUUUUUACGCGCACAGAAGCAAUACAAAGUUAUCGAAAAAGACAAAGGUGAUUUUCGAAUCAAAAAUCCCUAAAUACUUUGCUCCUCCAAUUUUUUUCCUUCUUUUGUGGGUUUGUGAUUCUGAUAUUCGAAAAAUAGGGGAAUAAGGGGCUUACCUCGCGAGUUUGCCGUGGACUCCUCCUUGCUUCAUCAAAAUCGAGAGUGGAGGAGGGGUCUUGAGGCUGAAAACCAUCUUCAAAAGGCGAAUAUGCCUGCGGUUGGGGACGACGGAGGUGAGAGCCAAAUGAUUUGGCUAAAGGUCGGCUGGAAAAGAAAAAUGGGGGCUAGGGUUUUGAAAUGGCUAAAUAGCCAAAGUUAAGGUCUUUUAAAGGUUUGAAUACGGCGUCGUUUUGGGCCUG
rnacentral:lncRNA from 1 species